GUCACUAAAGACGCGUGGCAUACGACGCGCAACACGUGGCCGUCGCCGCUCGCCGUCGUCGCGUGCGUUGCAGCGUACAGUAUGGCCGUGCGCGUAAACAGCACGCCGUCGUUAUAGGGCUGAUACUCUGCAUGUUCGCCGUCGGCGCCGUCGACGUUCAUCGUGCCGGCGUCUGCGUUUGUGUCCCCGCUGUCAUCGGUGCUGGGCGCGUUUCUAAAGGCACGCGCAUCGGCCGCUGUCCGGCUUCCAUUGGCGCCAUCGCCGCCGCCGUCGAUGGCAAUGCGCGCGUUGCCAUCGACACUGCGGUGCGUGUGCGCAUCUCGGACCUGCCGGUCUCUCCCCUCGUCCCCCUUGUCGUCAUCGCCAUUGUGUUCCGGGACGAUAUCUUGGGCCACGGCCAAGACAAAGAGGGUCUCGGGUGCACAUACGCCGUGCUGCCACAAGAGGGCGCGCCGCGUGGGCCACAUGUCGGGCACGCGGCGGACGCCCUGUGCCGCAUGGCGCCACAGAGACUCGACAACGUCGCCGGCGGCCGCAGCCCAUUCGCGCGGAUGGCCCAAGGGCGCCUCUCCUCCUUCUCCUCCCGCGCGGUCCAUCUGCGUGUAUGCGGGCACAGCAGCGGCAACAGCGUCAGACCCAAAGUGCGCGCGCAACCAGUGAUUGACAGAGCGCGGCGUGGGCGGAUCACCUAGGACCCUGCCGCGCAACGGUACUGCUGACGGUGUCGCGGCGACACUCUGCCAAAAGGCCUCGUACAGGCGGCGCAGCGUAUCCAGCCAGGCGACGAGCGCGUCAUGUUCGUGGGGCCUAUCGCACAGGGCGCGGGCCAGUAGAGGCAUGUACGCCCCGUGUUCGAGGCGCUCCACAUGAGCCAGUGCGCUCCUGUACCGCGCGUACCCGUGGCCCGCAGUGCGCACGAUAUCGAUGGCCCGAGUGAGAUGCACCGAAGCAUGGUGCGUGAUCGUGCCCAACGUAGCGGAAUCAGAGUCGUGCAACGGCGGUGCACCGCCGCGGUCAGGAUCGGCAAUGCGCGCGCGCAGGGCCUGGAUGAGAAGGGCGCGGUUGUCUCGAGGAUCUGGAGGGUCCAUGGCCGGGACACAGGUCCGGCGCCGCUGCCGCGGCUGUCGGCGUGUCCGUGUGCGCGCGCCCACUGGCGUACCUCGCCCGUCUAUUUUUAUCGCACGGGGGACGCAAUAAAAAGGUCAAAGCCC
rnacentral:lncRNA from 1 species